rnacentral:rRNA from 1 species
GUACACACCGCCCGUCGCUGUCCGGGACUGAGCUGUUUCGAGAAGACUGAGGACCGCUUUUGUGAGGCUUCGGCUUUGCUCUAGUGGAAGCCAGUUUAAUCGCAAUGGCUUGAACCGGGCAAAAGUCGUAACAAGGUACCUGUAGGUGAACCUGCAGGUGGAUCAUCG